UGGGGAAUAUUGCACAAUGGGCGCAAGCCUGAUGCAGCCAUGCCGCGUGUAUGAAGAAGGCCUUCGGGUUGUAAAGUACUUUCAGUCGGGAGGAAGGUGGUAAGGUUAAUAACCUUAUCAAUUGACGUUACCGACAGAAGAAGCACCGGCUAACUCCGUGCCAGCAGCCGCAGUAAUACGGAGGGUGCAAGCGUUAAUCGGAAUUACUGGGCGUAAAGCGCACGCAGGCGGUUGAUUGAGUCAGAUGUGAAAUCCCCGGGCUUAACCCGGGAAUUGCAUCUGAUACUGGUCAGCUAGAGUCUUGUAGAGGGGGGUAGAAUUCCAUGUGUAGCGGUGAAAUGCGUAGAGAUGUGGAGGAAUACCGGUGGCGAAGGCGGCCCCCUGGACAAAGACUGACGCUCAGGUGCGAAAGCGUGGGGAGCAAACAGG
rnacentral:rRNA from 1 species